rnacentral:rRNA from 1 species
AUUGAACGCUGGCGGCAUGCCUUACACAUGCAAGUCGAACGGCAGCACGGGGGCAACCCUGGUGGCGAGUGGCGAACGGGUGAGUAAUGCAUCGGAACGUGCCCAGUAGUGGGGGAUAACUAGUCGAAAGAUUAGCUAAUACCGCAUACGACCUAUGGGUGAAAGCGGGGGAUUCGCAAGAACCUCGCGCUAUCGGAGCGGCCGAUGUCUGAUUAGCUAGUUGGCGGGGUAAAGGCCCACCAAGGCUUCGAUCAGUAGCUGGUCUGAGAGGACGACCAGCCACACUGGGACUGAGACACGGCCCAGACUCCUACGGGAGGCAGCAGUGGGGAAUUUUGGACAAUGGGCGCAAGCCUGAUCCAGCCAUGCCGCGUG